UACGAGGGGGGCGAGCGUUGUUCGGAAUUAUUGGGCGUAAAGGGUGCGUAGGCGGUUUGGUAAGUCUUGUGUGAAAUCUUCGGGCUCAACUCGAAGUCUGCAUGAGAAACUGCCGGGCUUGAGUGUGGGAGAGGUGAGUGGAAUUCCCGGUGUAGCGGUGAAAUGCGUAGAUAUCGUAAGGAAGACCAGUGGCGAAGGCGGGUCUCUGGACAGUUCCUGACGCUGAGGCACGAAGGCCAGGGGAGCAAACGGG
rnacentral:rRNA from 1 species